GUUUAUGGCCAUACCACCUUAAACAAGCCAGGUUUCAUCUGAUCUUGGAAGCUAAGCAAGGUUGGGCCUGGUUAGUACUUGGAUGCGAGACUGUCUGGUAACACUGGAUGCUGUAGGCU
rnacentral:rRNA from 1 species